rnacentral:rRNA from 1 species
GAUGAACGCUGGCGGCGUGCUUAACACAUGCAAGUCGAACGGAAAGGCCCAAGCUUGCUUGGGUCCUCGAGUGGCGAACGGGUGAGUAACACGUGGGUGAUCUGCCCUGCACUUCGGGAUAAGCCUGGGAAACUGGGUCUAAUACCGGAUAGGACGAUGGUUUGGAUGCCAUUGUGGAAAGUUUUUUCGGUGUGGGAUGAGCUCGCGGCCUAUCAGCUUGUUGGUGGGGUAAUGGCCUACCAAGGCGUCGACGGGUAGCCGGCCUGAGAGGGUGUACGGCCACAUUGGGACUGAGAUACGGCCCAGACUCCUACGGGAGGCAGCAGUGGGGAAUAUUGCACAAUGGGCGCAAGCCUGAUGCAGCGACGCCGCGUGGGGGAUGACGGCCUUCGGGUUGCAAACUCCUUUCGCUAGGGACGAAGCGUUUUGUGACGGUACCUGGAGAAGAAGCACCGGCUAACUACGUG